rnacentral:rRNA from 1 species
GACGAACGCUGGCGGCGUGCUUAACACAUGCAAGUCGAGCGGUAAGGCCCUUUCGGGGGUACACGAGCGGCGAACGGGUGAGUAACACGUGGGUGACCUGCCCUCAGCUCUGGGAUAAGCCUGGGAAACUGGGUCUAAUACCGGAUAUGACUCCACGGCGCAUGUUGUGGGGUGGAAAGCCUUGUGUGGCUAGAGAUGGGCCCGCGGCCUAUCAGCUUGUUGGUGGGGUGAUGGCCUACCAAGGCGACGACGGGUAGCCGGCCUGAGAGGCGACCGGCCACACUGGGACUGAGACACGGCCCAGACUCCUACGGGAGGCAGCAGUGGGGAAUCUUGCGCAAUGGGCGAAAGCCUGACGCAGCGACGCCGCGUGAGGGAUGACGGCC